GCAUAUGCCGUGGGAAACGCUUUUGGAACAAGUUGGAUUGCUCCGAAUUUCAGUGCCUAUCGGGCAGCCAGUGAACAUUUGUCCAUCUUUAAGGCAUUAAACUGAGAAGAACCACUGAGGAAAGCAUGCCACAGUCUUUCCCAAAAUCCCUGUGUCUUAAGGAACAACCAAGAAGUUAACUGGUCAGGGAAAAGAUUUCUUUUGGAACACAGAAGCCAUCGCUGUGUGCGGAAAUCCAUGACCUGGCCAUGACUUCUACAACCCGGAGGACUUGCCUGGCAUUACCGAAAAGCACAGGGGAAAGAUUCUGUGGCAGAGAAUGAUGGGAGUUGUGAUCCAUACCUCCGUGUGCAUAAUGGUUGUACCUGCUCCAGGAAGGCGCUGGAUCCUCCCAACUCCAUGGGAAGAGAUUAGGACACAAACAACAGACAGAAGGUGACCACAGGAGGACACAGUGAGAAGCUGGCCAUCUGCAAGCCAAGGAGAGAGACCUCAGGAGAAACCAAACCUGCCAGCACCUUAAUCUUAGACUUCUAGCCCUCAGAACGGUGAGGAAAUAAAUCUCUGUUGUUCAUGCCACCCA
rnacentral:lncRNA from 1 species